rnacentral:rRNA from 1 species
GAGGAAUUUUGCGCAAUGGGGGAAACCCUGACGCAGCAACGCCGCGUGAGUGAUGAAGGCUUUCGAGUCGUAAAGCUCUGUCAAGUGAGAAGAACCUGCUUAUUGUUAAUACCAUUAAGUACUGACGGUAUCA